rnacentral:lncRNA from 1 species
AUGGGUCUGCACAAAUAUGUAAGUUUAUGUAACAUAACAGAAAUCUUAUACUUAACGGAAGAUCCACUUGUUCACGUGGACAUGGCAUCUGCACCCCGUGGUUCUGAUUAUUUUCUAGUUGGUCCAAGAAAGCAAGAUUUUAAACAGAGAGAAAAUGGAAGUACAGCAGAUUCCUACUGAAGCAUGAAUAAUCAGGAAUGAUGGAAGAGCUGACACCAUUCCACUAUUAGAAGCACUCACCUUCAGCAAGUUCAGGGUAAUCCCUUUACUCGAUUUUGGGGCAGCACUGAUGGACUUGGGCAGCUCACCUGCAUCCAAGGUAACACAAUGGGGAUGUGGACUUCUAAGGGAAUUAGAGUUAUUUCUUAUUGUUAAAUCUGAUCUACAAAAUUGAUAUAUCCUGUAUUGCGCAAAAAACUGAGCUGUCCAGGAGUAUAGAUUUUCUGUAAACCCCUCCUUUCUGUGAUUCUGAUUUCACAGCAUGAGUUGCCAGCUGAAGGAUAAUAUUUUGUAAUUCAUAUGGCAGUUUUAUACCUCUGUUCAGAUAUUCUACUUGGUGAAAAUGCUAACAAGACCAUUUUCAUUUUUUAAAUCAGGAAAUUAUUUUCUGUGAUUGCCUGAAGAAAUGUCUCUUUUUUACCUAUAGUACUAAAGGAAAUAAACCUUGCUAUACUGAGUAGCA